GGGUGACUGGUGACAGAGUGAGGGAGUGGGUGACCAGUGACAUAGGGAGGGAGAGGGGGUGACUAGUGACAGAGUGAGGGAGUGGGUGACUAGUGACAGAGGGAGGGAGGGAAUAGAUGACUAGUGGCAAAGUGAGGGAGGGAAGGGGUGACUAGUGACAGAGUGAGGGGAUGACUGGUGAUAGAGUGAGGGGGAGUGACUGUCACUAGUCACCCCAUCCCUCUCUCUGUCACUAGUCACUCCCUCCCUAACUCUGUAACUGUGUCACACCCUCCCUCACUCUGUCACUAAUCACCCCCUCUGUCCCUAGUCACCCCCUUCCUCACUCUGUCACUAGUCACCCC